CAAGUACUUUGACAUCACAGCUGCCCAGGUCCAACAAGUGGAGGCGACUGCGACCUCCUGACACUAGCAAAGUGGAAAAAAUGUUGGGAGGAAAAGGAAUGACAGAGGAUGGAAGGGGGAUGAGGGCCAGUGGAGAGACAGCCAAGUGAAAGACUGACACACUGACGGUCAGACACACACACACACACACAAACACUAAAGAUUAUUCACAAGCUGAACACGCUCUGAUUUUCUAGCCUGUGUACAUGUGUGUGAGAGUGUUACCCAGCUUGGAGUGUCCAAAGCAGAAGACACAGCCAUCUGCUCCAUUCACCACCGACUGAAUCACCUCGGCAACCGUUCCUGCACACACCUCCGCCUAGCAACAGGCAGACAGAGAGAGAGAAAUGGAGGGAGAUGUAGGAAGAAGCGUCAGGAGGGAACGCCGCAUCAAAUGUGAACAUCUUCGGGGGGACCUGAUUGGCUCCCGCCCUUUUCUGGGAAGCAGCGUUUGGUGUCUGAUUGGCUGAAGGGUCCAUGAUGGUGAUUUGCUUCUUCCUGGGAUCCACUUUAAGGAAGGAGCUGGACUCGGCUGCAUCCGACUGAGACACUGGACACACACGCACCAUCACUUUCACCUGAGGGGGAACUUCCACUGCCUGAGGCCGGUGAUCCAGUACCAAAACCCGGGGAGCCACCUAGAGAACCAGGCGAUCCUGUUCCAAUCCCCGGAGAGAUGGUCCCCGGUGAUCCAGAGAAGGACCCUGGUGAAGAGAUUCCUGA